GACAGCGUGGUGCAGUGGUUUGAACGUUGCAUUAGGACUCUGCAAUCCAGGGUUCAAACCCCACUGGGUGACC